UUUUGCAUUGAUGGUGAAACUUUCAUUUGUUUGAUUAGCGAAAAUAAAAAGAUAAAUGAAGGUCUAUGUUUGGAUAAAAGUGACGUUUUUCUGAAGUUUUAGAGUUUGGGAUUAAUCCGAAACCCGGAAAGAUGGAACUUCAGCGGGUUUGGAGGAACAUUGGAAGAUCUUUUGGCUCUCAAGGUCUGCUCCGCCUGCUGACUGGGCCAGUCCAGGCGGCACAUGUGUCCCAUGGUGCCGUUGAUCUUUGGGAAAGACUUGAGGACGCUGAAGACGGGAUACGGCACCAUGAUCAGCAGUGAUACGACCCAGGUGGCGGCGAUGACACGGUAGGCGUGGGAGCGGGUCUGCCACGCGCGGGAUUGCAGUGGGUUACAGAUGGCGCUGUAGCGCUCGAUGGCGAUGGCCACCAGGCUGAAGGUGGAGAUGCUAACAGAAACCCCUGCAAGAAGAAAACGUCUGUUAGCCAUUUUAUAUCAUCAAUUCAUAGUAAUAUGUUGAUUUAAAUCUCAGUUUGAACCAGUUUCAUUAACUUACAGACUGUUUUUUUUAGGAGAAUUAAUAAAAAAGUACAAUAAAGUAAAAUGACAUUUAUUCUUCAGUGAGAACUUUCUCUUAAAACUAAUUUUCUGUGUGAAAGCACAACAUAUUAUUCAUGUCAUGUUUCUGAGAGAUUUUGUUCUGUAGCUUAUCUGUGACACAAUAGGGACUCAUAAUGAAGUUUCAAUAGCUGUUUAUCUUUGUGACCUACAGUACGGCCCAAAAUCCACUUUAAUUAGGUUGGAGAAUGUCCUUGUUUUUUAUCUAGAAAGUCAAAAUGAGGUAGGAAGUAGACUUUUUUUUUUAAGUACAAACUUUUUUUUACCUUUUUUUUUUUUUUUUUUUUUUAAUUCGGUAAAAAUGCUUUACCUUUUAUCAUAUUUAUCUUAAUAUACAAAAGGCUGAUUCCAAACAUUUUUAUAUUGUAGCAUUAAUGACAAUUUUUGUUGUCUCUGGUCAAAACUUUACAAAGUAGCAUUUGAAGGAAAUGUGUUUCAGGACGUAGUAGGUCUGUUACCCCCUUUUAUUUACCCAUUUUGGUAUAUUUCUUAACAUUUUUACCUCUUUCAAUGUCAAAUACUGUAAAUUAAAGAAAUUAUUGGUCUGUUAUUUGCACCUACGGUAUAUGCUUGAAAUAGUCUUCGCAGCUCAGUUGGAUUAUUUGUAACUGGCAACAGCAGCUAAAUUAGACCGACUGUGAGGGCAGCGACAGUAAAACAAAACAAACAAAACAAAGGAAAGACAGGCAAUGAGCCAAUAUUAAUAUAAAUUAAUGGCCUGUAGCUGAUCUGUUUCCACACAGUUGACGACUAAAGAAAGGAUGUGAAAGGGCCCAACAGGAGCUGAUGUCUUUAGAGGCGUCAAAGGCCAAGCUCAGAUUUGCAUGUAUGAAUAUGUAUGUUCUGCAGAGGAGGAGCAAACUCCGCCGGUGUUUGGACGGAGAGUCCGGGUGGAACGUUAAAAUAUCUGCACAUUCCCAGUCUGUGAGAAACUCGAAACAGGCAUUUCCCUGUUUAAACAUUAAUCCCGAUUCCCCGUCCUUUAACGACGGAAGAACACGUCCUGCCUGGAGCCCGGAUUUUUUAUUAUCACUCACGAGAGGAAGUCAUUACUGCUCUCAUUCUGCUACGACGAGUGCGUUCGGUUUUCCAGGAAACGUGUAAAUCUGUCGAAACUGGUUUGCUGCAGGUCUGUCUUUCAAGCUCAAGUCUAAAA